rnacentral:misc_RNA from 1 species
CACAGUUUUAACGGCAGUCGCUGAUCAACUUUUACUGACGCUUGUUUUACGAAUAGUGUAGCGAAAUGUUUGCCUGUUCAACAUCGGCCGUCCUUUUCGUCUUGACCCUGUCGUCCUGGCUUUGCCAUCAGUCCUCCUGGGCUGCAUCCGACUAUUGUAUGAUUUCUACGUGCGGAACCCAACGGCACACGCUCUGUCUCUAUCCUAACAGCGGUCCAUCCAGUCAGUGCAGAAAUUAUGAUUCGGUACCGUUGUCACGUGACGAAGAAGCGGAAAUCGUUGCCCACCAUAAUCAGCUUAGACGGAGAGUUGCCAGUGGUCAGGAAAUUCGAGGACAUCCAGGACCUCAGACACCCGCCAGUGACAUGAAGGAGUUGAAAUGGGACGACGAAUUGGCAACGAUUGCUCAACGCUGGGCUGAUCAAUGCGCUAUGAUUCCUCACGACGAUUGCAGGGAUACCGAAAGAUUUCGCGUCGGUCAAAACGUUGUGGACUACUGGAGCAGUGACAACGUGAAUCCGCCAAUCGAAAACCUCGUGGCGGGCUGGUACGACGAAGUUGGACAGUUCAGCAAGAACGACAUUGACGUUUAUCGGUUUAAUGAAGCCACGGGACACUACACGCAGAUGGUCUGGGGAAACACGUCGUUCAUCGGAUGUGGACGAGCCCGUGACACGAGUGGCGGAUAUCAUACUCGACUGGUUUGCGAUUACGGGCCUGCCGGCAACUUCAUCGGUAGACCGGUAUACAAAACCGGUAGACCUGCUUCCGCCUGUACUGAUGGUGUCAGCAGAACCUAUCCAGGCCUCUGUAGUUAGGAAACAAUAUGUAGACAAAUGUCUCACACACAUGGCAUGCCGAUUAGUGAUGUAAAAUUUUCAUGUCAACUUUAACCGGUGACCCAAAGAGGGUGGAUUCCGUUCAACCUUUUCAGAGUGACAUCAAAUCUACCGAACGAAUUUGGAUGAAAUUUGGUCUAGGGAGGUUGUGUGGGUCGCUGAUUACGAAUCUGAACUCAGAAUUUUUUAAUUUUAAAUAGUGGAUCCAAUAUAACAAUAUCAAGUGAGUUUUGGAGUUUUACCGCAAAGCUGGUCAGAGUUGAUCUAAAAAUUAACUUCGUCAUUCAUUAACUCGCUACUUAAAAAGUCAACUUCGAUAAUCGUUGAAUAUUUAAAAAAAAUUUUAAACCCACGGCAUGCCUAGUAUAACAGCUAUGUAUGCAUCACAUUCGCACUCGCACUUCGCAUUAAUUCAUUAGCCAUUCGACUCGCCGAGCGUACGAACUUCAAUUUAACGAAAGUUAAGAAAACCGUUAAUUAUUGUUUUGGUCAACUCAAAGGUUAAAUCAGAGCAAUUUUGUUACCUUCGUUAGUUACCGAUUAAUGGAUUAACGGUUUUCUGCCCAGCUUUGGGUUUUGGUCCACCAUAUCGGAUCCGCCAUUUUGAACUUUCACAUUUCGAUUUCGGAUUCGUAAUCAGCGAUCCAAAAAACCCCCCAACAACAAUUUCAUAAAAAUCCGUUCGGUAGAUUCGAUGUGCCCCUGAAAAUGUUGAAUGGAGAUAUAAUCCACCCUCUUUGGGGCACGAGUUAGAGUUGAGAUAAGAAUCUGAAAAAAAUGGAGAAUUAUUUUUGAAUCACGUGCUUAAUGCUACUCCACUCUUUGCGCACUUUGUUUUUUGACCCGAUUUUCUCUCCCGCAUCGAAGAUCACCUGACAUCUCGCGAAAUAACUGGAUCACCAUGGUUAAAUGGCCAUGGAUGCAUCGAUCAGAGACUUGCUGGUUUUUGGCUUUGUGUCGCCACACUGCGGGCGGCGGGUUCGAAUAAGAAUUACUUUCGCCUUCUUCAUUGUCGUCCGUUGACGUCUUGACGAUUCUUCCAUUUAAUACCGUUUAGGCCCUAAUAGUGGCUGACGAGACUGCUCUUGCUGGUGACUCGAGCUCCAACGAUGCAACUUGGCAUUGUAACGCGAAAUAUCUAUUAUCCAGCAGUUCGGCAGCACUGGAAACUCGAUGUAUCCAUGCGUCUAUAUAUCAGUCGGUCAACGGUACUCGGCGGGUGUUCUUCUUCCCUUAUAACCUUAGACUCUUUCCAAAAUACUUUUCUAUGGACGAUUCUUACCCUCUGUUAUAUAUAAUGUAUCAAUGCAAUGCUCUUGCACAAACGGUAAACACUUUCCGGUUGCUGGUGAAGGGGGCGAAAUGCAACUCACUUCAGUCAUUCCUCAAUAUCGACGUUUUUAUUUUUCAUUCAAUGUUCGAAUGUUUCGUCCAACGUCUUACUUCUGUAAACAAAUAAUCUGUCCAACGGUUUAACCUGAUAUCCAAACGUUUGAGAGAAAAAUAUAAUAGGUAUAAUAACCAAA